rnacentral:lncRNA from 1 species
GUGGAUGCCAUGAAAUAUGAACAAGCUAUGAAUUUUGUGCCCCCACCAAGUGUGGUUGAAGAUAUUAUGUCUAGUAAGAAGGUGGACCAAGGGCUGAGGUUGGUGCUAGAAAGAGGAGGAGGGGUGUAAAAAAAUCAUGUUCAAUAGUAAGGAUGGUGAAGAGUAGGAACCAUAAAGAGAAAUCUGUGAAAGUAAAAAGCCCUUAUGCGAUCAUACCUAUCCGCC